rnacentral:rRNA from 1 species
CCUACGGGGGGCAGCAGUGGGGGAUAUUGCACAAUGGGGGGAACCCUGAUGCAGCGACGCCGCGUGUGGGAAGACGGUCCUCUGGAUUGUAAACCACUGUCCCCAGGGACGAAAAUGACGGUACUUGGGGAGGAAGCUCCGGCUAACUACGUGCCAGCAGCCGCGGCAAUACGUAGGGAGCGAGCGUUGUCCGGAAUUACUGGGUGUAAAGGGAGCGUAGGCGGGGAUGCAAGUUGGGGGUCAAAACUACCGGCUAAACUGGUAGUCGCACUCAAAACUGCAGCUCUUGAGUGAAGUAGAGGCAGGCGGAAUUCCUAGUGUAGCGGUGAAAUGCGUAGAUAUUAGGAGGAACACCAGUGGCGAAGGCGGCCUGCUGGGCUUUUACUGACGCUGAGGCUCGAAAGUGUGGGGAGCAAACAGGAUUAGAUACCCUUGUAGUC